GGUGGGUUGUCCGAGUGGCCGAAGGAGCACGCCUGGAAAGCGUGUAUGUCGAAAGGCAUCAAGAGUUCGAAUCUCUUACCCACCGCCA
rnacentral:tRNA from 2 species